rnacentral:misc_RNA from 1 species
AGCAGCCGCGGUAAUUCCAGCUCCAAUAGCGUAUAUUAAAGUUGUUGCAGUUAAAAGCUCGUAGUUGAAUUUCGGGAUCAAUUUAUUGGUCGUGCAAUAGUACGUACUGGUAUUAUUGGUUCCUACCUUCUGAUGAACCAUGAUGUCAUUAAUUUGGUGUUAUGGGGAAUCAGGACUGUUACUUUGAAAAAUUAGAGUGUUUAAAGCAGGCUCACGCUUGAAUACAUUAGCAUGGAAUAAUGAAAUAGGACGUUUGAUUCUAUUUUGUUGGUUUCUAGGAUCGACGUAAUGAUUAAUAGGGAUAGUUGGGGGCAUUAGUAUUCAAUUGUCAGAGGUGAAAUUCUUGGAUUUAUUGAAGACUAACUACUGCGAAAGCAUUUGCCAAGGAUGUUUUCAUUAAUCAAGAACGAAAGUUAGGGAUCGAAGACGAUCAGAUACCGUCGUAGUCUUAACCAUAAACUAUAGCCGACUAGGGAUCGGAUGAUGUUAAUUUUUAUGUA